ACCAAGGGACUCACAUUUAGCAAUAGUUGGUAGGGUAAAAGCCUACCAAGACGAUGAUGUUUAGCGGGGCCAAGAGGUUGUACCGCCACACUGGGAUUGAGAUACGGCCCAGACUCCUACGGGAGGCAGCAGUAAGGAAUAUUCCACAAUAAGCGAAAGCUUGAUGGAGCGACACAGCGUGCAGGAUGAAGUCUUUCGGGAUGUAAACUGCUGUUGUAAGGGAAGAAAAAACUAGAUAGGAAAUGCUCUAGUCUUGACGGUACCUUAUUAGAAAGCGACGGCAAACUAUGUGCCAGCAGCCGCGGUAAUACAUAGGUCGCAAGCGUUAUCCGGAAUUAUUGGGCGUAAAGCGUCCGUAGGUUUUUUGUUAAGUUUAAAGUUAAAUGCUAAAGCUCAACUUUAGUCCGCUUUAGAUACUGGCAAAAUAGAAUUAUGAAGAGGUUAGCGGAAUUCCUAGUGGAGUGGUGGAAUACGUAGAUAUUAGGAAGAACACCAAUAGGCGAAGGCAGCUAACUGGUCAUAUAUUGACACUAAGGGACGAAAGCGUGGGGAGCAAACAGGAUUAGAUACCCUGGUAGUCCACGCCGUAAACGAUGAUCAUUAGUUGGUGGCAAAAGACCC
rnacentral:rRNA from 2 species